rnacentral:rRNA from 1 species
GAUGAACGCUGGCGGCGUGCUUAACACAUGCAGGUCGAACGGAAAGGCUCCUGCUUGCAGGGGUACUCGAGUGGCGAACGGGUGAGUAACACGUGGGUGAUCUGCCCUGCACUUCGGGAUAAGCCUGGGAAACUGGGUCUAAUACCGGAUAGGACGAUGGUUUGGAUGCCAUUGUGGAAAGUUUUUUCGGUGUGGGAUGAGCUCGCGGCCUAUCAGCUUGUUGGUGGGGUAAUGGCCUACCAAGGCGUCGACGGGUAGCCGGCCUGAGAGGGUGUACGGCCACAUUGGGACUGAGAUACGGCCCAGACUCCUACGGGAGGCAACAGUGGGGAAUAUUGCACAAUGGGCGCAAGCCUGAUGCAGCGACGCCGCGUGGGGGAUGACGGCCUUCGGGUUGUAAACUCCUUUCGCUAGGGACGAAGCGCAAGUGACGGUACCUGGAGAAGAAGCACCGGCUAACUACGU